rnacentral:lncRNA from 1 species
GGCGAUACUGUAGAUGUCGUCGGCGAAGUUGUUGACGGUGGCACGGAUCUGUUCGGCCGUUGGAUUUGAUUUGACAUUUUCGAAGAAAUAUUGAAGGGUCCGAAGAAACGGGGAAUCAAAGAUUCCCCUCCCUUCUUCUUUCGAAAGUAUCAAACCGGCGAUGCUGUAGAUGUUAUCGGCGAAGUUGUUGACGGUGGCACGGAUCUAUUCGGCCGUCGGAUUUGAUUUGACAUUUUCGAAGAAAUAUUGAAGGGUCCGAAGAAACGGG